rnacentral:ncRNA from 1 species
UGCAAAUCGAUGACGAGGUAAAAGUUGCAGGAAUUCCGUAUUCACAGAGAGCCGGUUGUUGCUGAGAGCCGGUAAUACUACCUGCAGCGACAUCCCCUCUGAGUGCCGAUCUGAACGGAAACUAUUAGGAUUGGCCGAGUAUAAUAUACUCGUUAUCAAAAAGAACAAUGUGUCAGUCAUUGUUCAUGAGGUGGCAUUCGUGAGAAUGUCAUGAAUCAGGGUGGUACCGUGGAAAGAAUACAGCCUUUUC